AUGUCUCCGGCGGCUGUGGCGGCUGGAGGAGGCAACCGACGGCGGCCGAUAGCGAGUGUCAGGGAGGGCCGCGGCUGGGGCUGUGGCCGGCCGGCCGGGGCGGCGCUUCUCGGCCUGUCGCUGCUCGGCCUCGUGCUGUACCUGGUGCCGGCGGCGGCUGCGCUGGCCUGGCUUGCUGUGGGGGCUACUGCGGCCUGGUGGGGACUGAGCCGCGAGCCCCGAGGUUCGCGCGCGCUCUCCUCGCUCGUUUGGAACGCGCGGCGUCGGCGAACACUGCUCGCCUCGCCUCCUGCCAAAUCGGCAGCAAACGGAAAUCUCCUAGAGCCGCGGAGCCCGCUCGAAGGACCCGACCCCGCUGAACUGCUCCUCAUGGGCAGUUACCUGGGCAAGCCCGGCCCUCCACAGCCUGCCCCCGCCCCGGAGGCUAGGGACGUGCGGGAGAGGCCGGGGCGCCGCCCUCCCGUCCGCACCGCGUCCCCGGCUCAGUCGGCGCAUCCCCAGCGUGUUCAAGUUCACCCGUCCCUCCCCACUUCUCUUCUCCGACCCUCCAGGAGGCCUUCCUACCGGGACUGUGGGACUUUAUCACAUCGGUUUGUAGUAACACCUCGAAGGCGAUAUCCAAUCCAGCAGGCCCAGUAUUCCUUGCUGGGGGUACUUCCCACAGUAUGCUGGAAUGGUUGUCACAAGAAGACCGUGCUGUCUCCUCGUAAUUCCAAAAUGGUGUGCAGCCCAGUGACAGUGAGGAUUGCGCCUCCGGAUAGCAAACUGACUCGUUCUCCAUUACCAGAACAGAUUAUCAACUCAACACUGUCUUCACCAUCAACUAGUGCCCCAGAUCCAUGUGCAAAGGAGACUGUGCUGAACGCCCUCAAAGAGAGAAAGAAAAGGACAGUGGAGGAGGAAGACCAAAUAUUUGCUGAUGGCCAGGAAAAUAAAAGAAGGCGCCAUGACAGCAGCGGGAGCGGACACUCUGCGUUUGAGCCCCUGGUGGCCAAUGGAGCCCCUGCUGCUUUUGUGCCCAAGCCUGGGUCUCUGAAGAGAGGUCUUAAUUCACAGAACUCAGAUGAUCACCUGAAUAAGAGAUCCCGCACCUCUUCUGUGAGCUCCCUGACAAGCAGCACGUACACAGGUGGUAUCCCCAGCUCCAGCCGCAAUGCCAUCACCAGUUCCUACAGCUCCACGCGUGGUCUCUCUCAGCUGUGGAAGAGGAGUGGUCCCAGUUCGUCUCCCUUCUCUAGCCCAGCCUCAUCCCGCUCCCAGACACCAGAGAGGCCAGCAAAGAAAGUCAGAGAAGAGGAGCUUUCUCAUCAUUCUUGCUCUUCAGCUCCGUUGGUAACAGACAAGGAGUCCCCGGGAGAAAAGGUUGCCAAUCCAACCACGUGGAAGAAGCAGAACUCAUGGAAUUCCCCAUCAACACCUGGCAGCUCUGGGCAGCGUAAACGGAAGGUUCAACUGCUGCCCUCUAGGCGAGGAGACCAGCUGACCUUGCCUCCACCUCCCCAGCUUGGUUAUUCGAUCACUGCUGAGGACUUGGACUUGGAAAAGAAAGCUUCGUUACAAUGGUUUAACAAGGUCUUAGAGGAUAAGACUGACACUGCCUCGACCUCUGUCACCGAGGCCCCACCUGCCAGUCAGUCUUCUUUCACUGUGACCCUGCCUGCCGCUGGGACUGCUUCAUCCGCAACCUCCCUCCAAGCCCCUGGCGCUAACCCCCUGUUGGAGAGCUUGAAGAAGAUGCAGAAUUCCCCGGGGAUGCCUUCCCUCCCUGAGCCUGCUGCAGUGACCACUACUGUGGCCGAUUCACCCCCAAAGACACCCAGUCCUCUGGCCUCUCUGAGCUCCUCACAGUCAGGAGCGCUUCCAGCCACCUCCUCCGACUCCAGAUCCACCACUGCUCUCUUGGGGCUGACCCCGGCUUCUUCCCCAGGACCCGUCACCGAUGCCGCCAAGUCCCCUCCGGCCCCUUCAGCUGAGACAUCCGCCAAAUCUCAGGCCCUGUCUACCCCGCCUCCCAGCCCCAAGCAGAGCAUCCUGUUUGGAAUGCUGAGCACCCCAGCUGCUAACCCUCCUGCCUCUGUAGCCCCUGCUAUGUCUUCAGCAUCGCCCAUGUUCAGGCCCAUUUUUGUGGCCCCCCUGAAAAGCGAGAGUGGGGACCCCUUGCCCUCUAGCCCUUCCACGGUCACAGCCGUGGCAUCUUCUAGCUCGGCCCUCCCCACGACUACCAGCAGCACAGCCCCCACUUUCAAGCCAAUCUUUAGUAGUGUGGGGCCACCCACAUCUGUGCCCGGGCUAACUCCCUUCUUCAAGCAAACAGCUACUCUGGCCACUACCACGAGUGCCCCUCUCUUCACCGGCCAGGCCACUGCCACCUCCACAGUGACUUCCGUGACCACAGCCAGCACCUCCACAGACUCUGCUCCGAAGCCCGCGUUCAGCUUCGGUGUGAGCAGUGUGACCAGCACCCUGAGCAGUGUGACCAGCACCGCUGCUUCCGCCUCCCAGCCCUUCCUCUUUGGGACUCCCCCGACUUCUGGUGCCAGCUUCACCCCAGCUGGGGGCUCCAUAUUCCAAUUUGGCAAGCCUCCCGCCCUGCCCACCUCCACAUCAGUCACCACCUUUGGCCAGUCGCUUCCCAGUGCCCCUCAGACAGCCCCCAGCAGCAGCAGCAGCAGCACUGGCUUCAGCGGUUUUGGCAGCAGCCUCAGCACCUCCGCUCCAGCCACCACCGGCCAGCCCACGCUGACGUUCAGCAGCACCGCCACCCCAGCCUUCAACAUUCCCUUUGCCUCGGGCACCAAGCCCACUCUCCCAUCCUACCCGGGCGCCAACCCCCAGUCCACCUUCGGGGCCACCGAGGGGCAGCCGCAGGGGGCUGCCAAGCCGGCUCUCGUGCCCAGCUUUGGCAGCUCUUUCACUUUUGGAAACUCUGCAGCCCCAACCCCGACUGCGACCCCAGCGCCGACCCCAGCCCAGCCAGCGUUCGGCGGCGCCGCUCAGCCGGCGUUUGGCAGUCUGAAAGCCACACCCUCCGCCUUCGGCACCUCCACCAGCACCCGGCCAGCCUUUGGCAGCACCACAGCUGUUUUCUCGUUUGGUGCGGCCACCACCUCUGGCUUUGGUGCUACCACCCAGACUACCAGCAGCGGGACCAGCGGCUCAGUGUUCGGCGGCACAACACCGUCGCCCUUCAUGUUUGGGGGACCAGCCACCCCGGCUGGGAGUGGGGCCUUUGGGCUGAGUGUGGCCACCCCGGGCACCAGCGCUGCCUCUGGAGCAUUCGGCUUCGGGGCAGGACAGAGUGGGACCACCGGCAGCACAGCGCCUUUUGGGGGAGGCUUGAGUCAAAACAGCUUGGGCACACCCAGCCAGACCACAUCCUUUGCCUUCAGUGUGACCAGCACACCGGACAGCAAACCUGUGUUUGGAGGCACCUCCACGCCCACCUUCGGUCAGAACACCCCAGCCCCUGGGGUGGGAGCAGCUGGCAGCAGCCUCUCCUUUGGGGCAUCCUCAACACCUGCCCAAGGCUUUGUCGGAGUUGGACCUUUUGGAUCGACAGCCCCUUCCUUUUCCAUUGGUGCGGGAUCCAAGACCCCAGGGGCUCGACAGCGGCUACAGGCCCGGAGGCAGCACACCCGCAAGAAAUAGCCUUCGUCCCUCACCCAGCCCCCCACCACCCCUUGCCCAAAUCCGGACCUCGGCACCUGCUAGGAAGAGCCUCUGAUCCUUCUGGUUCCGCCACACAGACCAACCCCAGGCCUCUGGCUUCAGCCCGCAGGGAGGUAGUGGCAGCGCCAGGGGCUGUUUCCCUCUCUCAGGAAGCAGAAGCCCCAGGUCGGGGGGGUCAUGGGGGGAGGGAUGUGGCAGGGCAGAAGCUGUUACCUUACUUGAACUGGUGAAGCUGGAGAGAACUAAAGAAACAUCUGUACAUACUGUCCACUUCCUUCCCCGACGCUCGUGUAGUGUGUGAGCU
rnacentral:lncRNA from 1 species